AGUGAACGCUGGCGGUAGGCCUAACACAUGCAAGUCGAACGGCAGCACAGUAAGAGCUUGCUCUUACGGGUGGCGAGUGGCGGACGGGUGAGGAAUACAUCGGAAUCUACUUUUUCGUGGGGGAUAACGUAGGGAAACUUACGCUAAUACCGCAUACGACCUACGGGUGAAAGCAGGGGAUCUUCGGACCUUGCGCGAUUGAAUGAGCCGAUGUCGGAUUAGCUAGUUGGCGGGGUAAAGGCCCACCAAGGCGACGAUCCGUAGCUGGUCUGAGAGGAUGAGCAGCCACACUGGAACGGAGACACGGUCCAGACUCCUACGGGAGGCAGCAGGGGGGAAUAUUGGAAAAGGGCGCAAGCCUGAUCCAGCCAUACCGCGUGGGUGAAGAAGGCCUUCGGGUUGUAAAGCCCUUUUGUUGGGAAAGAAAAGCAGCAGGUUAAUACCCCGCUGUUCUGACGGUACCCAAAGAAUAAGCACCGGCUAACUUCGUG
rnacentral:rRNA from 1 species